CCUACGGGUGGCUGCAGUCGAGAAUCAUUCACAAUGGGGGAAACCCUGAUGGGGCGACGCCGCGUGGGGGAAUGAAGGUCUUCGGAUUGUAAACCCCUGUCAUGUGGGAGCAAAUUAAAAAGAUAGUACCACAAGAGGAAGAGACGGCUAACUCUGUGCCAGCAGCCGCGGUAAUACAGAGGUCUCAAGCGUUGUUCGGAAUCACUGGGCGUAAGGCGUGCGUAGGCUGUUUCGUAAGUCGUGUGUGAAAGGCGCGGGCUCAACCCGCGGACGGCACAUGAUACUGCGAGACUAGAGUAAUGGAGGGGGAACCGGAAUUCUCGGUGUAGCAGUGAAAUGCGUAGAUAUCGAGAGGAACACUCGUGGCGAAGGCGGGUUCCUGGACAUUAACUGACGCUGAGGCACGAAGGCCAGGGGAGCGAAAGGGAUUAGAUACCCGAGUAGUC
rnacentral:rRNA from 1 species